rnacentral:rRNA from 1 species
UACGGGGGGUGCAAGCGUUGUUCGGAAUCACUGGGCGUAAAGGGUGCGUAGGUGGCGCCAUAAGUCAGGUGUGAAAUCUCGGGGCUUAACUCCGAAACUGCAUUUGAUACUGUGGGGCUUGAGGACUGGAGAGGAGACUGGAAUUUACGGUGUAGCAGUGAAAUGCGUAGAGAUCGUAAGGAAGACCAGUGGCGAAGGCGGGUCUCUGGACAGUUCCUGACGCUGAGGCACGAAGGCCAGGGGAGCAAACGGG